rnacentral:sRNA from 1 species
CCAUAGCCCCGAUUGCAACGGCAUCCUUUUUUUGUUUUUGGAUCAAUUACUUUUUGAUGACCAAACGUCGUAACAAAAAAAGAUAUAGUGGAAAGCGGGAUCAAGC